GGGAUUGCCCCAGUAACGGCGAGUGAAGCGGCAACAGCUCAAAUUUGAAAUCUGAUGCCCUUUGGGUGUCCGAGUUGUAAUUUGUAGAGGGAGUCUCGGGUUGAGGGUCGGUCCCAAGUGCCUUGGAACAGGAUACCGCAGAGGGUGAGAGUCCCGUAUCCGGCCGACGCCUGCGCUCGUAUGAGAGCCCUUCGACGAGUCGAGUUGUUUGGGAAUGCAGCUCUAAAUGGGUGGUAAAUUCCAUCUAAAGCUAAAUACGGGCCAGAGACCGAUAGCGCACAAGUAGAGUGAUCGAAAGAUGAAAAGCACUUUGAAAAGGAGAGUCAAACAGUACGUGAAAUUGUUGAAAGGGAAGCGUAUGUGGGCAGACUUGACCGCGAGAUUCAAGCCGUCUUCUGGCGGGUGUAUUUUGUCGCGGGCAGGCCAGCAUCGGUUCCGGCGGGCGGACAAAGGCGAGGGGAAUGUGGCACCCUCCGGGGAGUGUUAUAGCCCAACGUGCAAUGCGCCCAGGUGGGACCGAGGACCGCGCUUCGGCAAGGAUGCUGGCGUAAUGGCCUCAUACGGCCCGUCUUGAAACACGGACCAAGGAGUCUAACAUCUGUGCGAGUGUUUGGGUGACAAGCCCGGACGCGGAAUGAAAGUGAACGGAGGUGGGAGUCCUGGGACGCACCAUCGACCGAUCCUGAUGUGUUCGGAAGGAUUUGAGUAAGAGCAUAGAUGUUGGGACCCGAAAGAUGGUGAACUAUGCGUGAAUAGGGUGAAGCCAGAGGAAACUCUGGUGGAGGCUCGCAGCG
rnacentral:rRNA from 1 species